rnacentral:tRNA from 1 species
GCCUCCGUAGCUCAGCUGGUAGAGCAACUGACUUGUAAUCAGUAGGUCGCUGGUUCGAUCCCGGCCGGGGGCU